AGCUCAGUUGGUAGAGCAACUGACUCACAUUGUCUAUCUUUUGGCAGUGGGUCGAGAGUUCCACCCUCUCCGGGG
rnacentral:tRNA from 1 species